GAUGAACGCUAGCGGCAGGCUUAAUACAUGCAAGUCGUGGGGCAGCAGGGGUGUAGCAAUACAUCUGCUGGCGACCGGCAAACGGGUGCGUAACACGUACGCAACCUUCCCGUUACUGUGGCAUAGCCCAGGGAAACUUGGAUUAAUACCACAUAUUAUAUUGAGGGGGCAUCCCUUUGAUAUCAAAGCUUCGGCGGUAACGGAUGGGCGUGCGGUUGAUUAGGUAGUCGGCGGGGUAACGGCCCACCAAGCCUACGAUCAAUAGCUGAUGGAGGAGCAUGAUCAGCCAGACGGGCACUGAGACACGGGCCCGACUCCUACGGGAGGCAGCAGUAAGGAAUAUUGGGCAAUGGACGAAAGUCUGACCCAGCCAUGCCGCGUGAAGGAUUAAGGUCCUCUGGAUUGUAAACUUCUUUUCUCUGGGGCGAAAACCAGCUAUUCUUAGCUAUUUGACAGUACCAGAGGAAUAAGCACCGGCUAACUCCGUGCCAGCCGCCGCAGUAAGAC
rnacentral:rRNA from 1 species